GAGCGUGACGUCACGUGCAAAGGGUUUAUUAGGUAUUAUAGUGUACGUUUAAAAUAGGGGAACAUGUUACUUUACAUGUUACUUCAAAAAUAGAAAUCUGAUGAUGUUAUGUAUGUUACUCCCAACAAUGAGUAACAAUAUACAGUAAACAUUUUGUAAGUCUACUUGAGAUGUAGUCAUCAUUAUGCAGAGUAAUGAUUUGAUAAAAGUGUUCAUUAUCUUAUCUUAGGAGGUCCAGUGUGUGGUCUGACCUAAAAUGAAUGUCAAGUUUGUUGUAUCAGAUGAAAUUAUAAUUAUUUCAUGAUCUUCCAUCAUCACAUGCAUAAAUCAAACUGUGCAUAAAUAACAUAAUUCUUACUGUUAGGAUGGUCUAACUCAUUGCUGCUACUUCGAACAGGGUUCAUUCCUUCAGGCCUUCUCUCCAGUUCACUCUGUCUUCUCUCCAGUUCACCCUCUCUUCUCUCCAGUUUGGUUUCUCUUCUCUCCAAUUCGCUCUCUCUUCUCUCCAGUUUGGUUUCUCUUCUCUCCAAUUCGCUCUCUCUUCUAUCCAGUUCGGUUUCUCUUCUCUCCAGUUUGGUUUCUCUUCUCUCCAAUUCGCUCUCUCUUCUAUCCAGUUCUCUCUCUCUAAUAUACAGUUCCAUCUCUUGUCUCUCCAUUUCUAUCUCUGUAAUAUCUGGUUCCAUCACUCUUUUCUUUAGUCCUUUCUCUCUUCCAUCCAGUUCCAUUGCUUCUUGGUCUCUAAUAUACAGCUUAUAUUGCCUUACAUGCAGGUCCAUCAGUCUUUUAUCCAGUUCGGUCUGUCUUCUCUCUGCUCUUUUCUCAAUUUCUCUCUGUCUAAUAUCCAUUUCCAUCCCUCUUCUGUUUAGUUCCACAUGCAAGUCAAAUGCUCUUCUAUCCAGUUCCAUCGCUCUUCUAUCCAGGUCCAUCACUCUUCUAUCCGGUUCCAUGGCUGUUUUGUUCAAUUCUCUCUCCGGCUCCAUCUUUCUUGCCUCGGAUAGAGCUCUUGCAUGUGACUGUAUGAUGCGACAUUAAAAUGUUAUUUUUAGUCUUUUAUACUUUGCUUCUCACAGAUUCUUUUAGAAUAACAUUUAUUUAUUCAUUGGAAAAUGAAUCAUGCUUUUAUCCAAAGUCACUUCAAAGUAUAUAUGUAUCUCUGUGUGUUCGCGGGAAUAGACAUCGUCACUGAACCCGUGACCUUGUGUAAUGCCCUAUUUGAGCUAAAGGAAUGCAAAUAUAUUUCCAAAGCUUGAGAGAUGAUAUUGAUUCACAUUAUCAUCUCUCUAGCUUUGAAAAUAUAUAGCUUAAUUUUUAUAUCUUCUGUCCAUUUUUUUCUCAGUUUAUUAUUUUCCUCACAUUCAGCAUCAAAAUCUUAAAAUAUGUUUUAGCUUCUCUGAAACAGUCUAAAUGUUUUGUGGAAAAGAAGUUCUAUUGGCGAUGUGAUGUGCUGUUUGCAUUCGAUGUAGUUUUAGGCUCAUAUAUUCCAUGUAUGUGUAAUGGGAUGAUGAAUGAGUUCGGGACACUUCUCAUAAGUCUGUGGGGUAG
ensembl:lncRNA